UACGUAGGGUGCGAGCGUUAAUCGGAAUUACUGGGCGUAAAGCGUGCGCAGGCGGUUUUGUAAGCCAGAUGUGAAAGCCCCGGGCUUAACCUGGGAAUGGCAUUUGGGACUGCAAGGCUUGAGUGCGGCAGAGGAGACUGGAAUUCCCGGUGUAGCGGUGAAAUGCGUAGAUAUCUGGAGGAACACCGGUGGCGAAGGCGGCAUCCUGGACCGGUAUUGACGCUGAGGCGCGAAAGCCAGGGGAGCAAACGGG
rnacentral:rRNA from 1 species